rnacentral:lncRNA from 10 species
CAACAGAGACAGCUGUUUGUCCCCCAGUAUCCUUCAGACAAAGCCAUAUAUGAUUGAAGGUUAUCAGUACUGUGCUUUUGGAGGAUUCAGAAGAAGUUAUAUCUGAUUGGGAGAUUGAAAAGGAUUGGCCUGAAGGAGAGGUGGUUUUUGAACUGCAUCUUAAAGGAUGAGGAAACUGAGGCUGAGAGGGUAGAGAACUUUGCCUGAGGUCACUCAGCAGGGACCCACCCAUCACAGUAAAUGCCAGCACUGCUGAUGCCAAAACAAUGUUAUUUGUAGGCCCUCGGAAUUUGUGACCUGAAGGAAGAAGAGCAGGGCCGUGGGAAGUAUGUAACCAGUGUCAUGCCCCUGGUCCCAAGGAAGCAGUGGCUUGGUAAAGAGGGGACCCCCGUCAAUAACUCCCUGUAAUUACUGGGCACCCACUCUGAGCUCCUCAGUGGAAUCCUAAGGUUAAUAAGACUGUCUCUAGCCACUGGGGCUCCCAGCCUGGAGUGAGGUAAGAGGAGUGGAGCCGGCUGGGGAGGGAGACGAACACAUACACAGAAGAUUCAGACACACUUGCAAUGUAUUGCUGGGGAUUCUCCAGCAUUGGCAUGAUGGAGAGGGUGGAGAAUCAUUUGACCGCCUCCGCCUAGGAUUGCAGAGUUCAGCUGGCCAUCAUCCACCAGCCGGGGGACUGUGCACAUCAGUUAACCUCUCCUCUCAGGCCUUGAAAAGCACCAGGCUUAGUACACGUUUGUUAAAUGAAUGCACUGCAGUUUUUUUGCUUGUUAAAGGCAGGUAAUAAUAAUGAUAUUGCUGACUAAGGGCUCCCAUCCACUCCCAGUGAGCCCGGUGCCCCCCCGGGCCUCCUCAGUGAGCUGAGGAGGCUCAGCAGUGCCUGCACGUCCCCUCGCCACAAUGUCAUGUGCCACCUCUUCAAAGGAGGGAUGUACCAGCUAGUGGACGUGACCUUGACUGCAAAGGGCGGCACGCAGCUGAUGUAAUGGUCGCUUAAGUGUUCACAAAUGCCUGAACACCCUGUCCUACCUGGUCCUACCUGGAUGCUGGCCUCAGUAAGCUCCUGGGCUCAUUGAAGAUGAACCUAGCAGUAGUAUUUACACCACUUGUUGUGUGCCCACUGUGGGCCCGGCGCCAUGCCGAGUGCUCUAUGGAUGUGAGAGAAACGGAGGCCCAGAAAGCAGAAAUGAUGUGUUAAGAUCACUCAUCAAGCUGAUGGUACAGAGAUGAGAACACUGAAGCAGUUUUUUCUAAAGAUAGCUGCCUGGCACAGUGGCUCACAUCUGUAGUCCCAGCAUUUGGGGAGGCCAAGGCAGGUGGAUCACUUGAGGCCAGGAAUUCAAGACCAGCAUGGCCAACAUGUUUUCCAUCCUUCCUUCAGUGCUGGGAGAGAAAAGCAUACGACAUAGACAGGGAGGUCAAGCUCCACCACGCAGAUGAGGUGCAGGCCACCAGUCUUCCUCUGCCACAUCUCUUUCUGAAAAGGCAGCCUGUGCUGAGAAACCAUGACUGAGUAAGCCAAGCUUUGUUGGCCGCACCUGCCAAGCCACAGGGUGCCUCAGGCUUGGAGCAUCCCGGAGCCAGUUACAACCCAAGACUUCAGCCUUCUGGAAGGUGUUGGGUCAGCCACCCUGAAGGACGAUCCUGCCCAAGUGACAUGCUUUGCUCUUCCUUCUCACCCAGGACUUCACAUUCACCCUUGCAAUCCAUGUGGGGACACUGUUGGAUAGGAGGCGUGGUCCCAGCGUGGUCUCCCUGUCUGGGCCUCUGCCUAUGCCAAAUGUUUGCCUUACGCUGCACACUCAAGAGGUUCCAUGUAUACAGAUGGGAAUUCCAGAGCUACAGAAAAGGCAGCAAGCACCAUGAUUUAAGCUAACCAGUGUGGAUUCACACCUUCCUCUCUCUCUAUCAGUGGCAGAACUACCAGCUAGAGUAAGAAGUGGUUGAUCCAGGACCUAAACAUUCUGGAAACUCUUGCCCACUUCUGGGAGAAAUGACCCAAUCCAUAGUACUAAGCACACCUUAACUUUCGUAGGACGCAGGCAAGUUGUCAUACCGUGUGCCUAAAUAUAGAAAAAUGAUCCACUGGACUAAUAAAGUGUUAAAUAAAAUAUGUCCUGACUGUCUACUUUGACAACAUACUUUCAUAAUGACAAAACUUAAAAAUGUAUAAAGCUAUGGUUUUUAUAUAGUUGAAAAUUGACAAAACAGAAGACUAAAUUUACUUAUUAUUGCACAUGAUGGGCGGGCUAUGUUUGGUUGAG